CGGGUCGUUAGCUCAGUUGGUAGAGCAGUUGACUUUUAAUCAAUUGGUCGCAGGUUCGAAUCCUGCCUGAUGCGC
rnacentral:tRNA from 1 species